rnacentral:rRNA from 1 species
CCUACGGGCGGCUGCAGUGAGGAAUAUUGGUCAAUGGCCGGAAGGCUGAACCAGCCAAGCCGCGUGAAGGACGAAGGUGCCAAGCAUUGUAAACUUCUUUUGUCAAGGGACAAAAUCAGGCUCGAGAGCCUGACCGAGGGUACUUGAAGAAAAAGCAUCGGCUAACUCCGUGCCAGCAGCCGCGGUAAUACGGAGGAUGCGAGCGUUAUCCGGAUUUAUUGGGUUUAAAGGGUGCGUAGGCGGACUGUUAAGUCAGCGGUAAAAGUCCGGGGCUCAACCCCGGCGAGCCGUUGAAACUGGCUGGCUAGAGAGGGCGAGAGGUAUGCGGAAUGCGCAGUGUAGCGGUGAAAUGCUUAGAUAUUGCGCAGAACUCCGAUUGCGAAGGCAGCAUACCGGCGGCGAUCUGACGCUGAGGCACGAAAGCGUGGGUAUCGAACAGGAUUAGAUACCCUUGUAGUC